UACAGAGGGUGCGAGCGUUAAUCGGAAUUACUGGGCGUAAAGCGUGCGUAGACGGCUAUCUAAGUCGGGUGUGAAAUCCCUCGGCUCAACCGAGGAAGUGCAUUCGAAACUUCCGGACUUGAAUAUGGAAGAGGGUCGCGGAAUUCCCGGUGUAGCGGUGAAAUGCGCAGAUAUCGGGAGGAACACCCGUAGCGAAGGCGGCACUCUGGGCCGGUACUGACGCUGAGGAGCGAAAGCGUGGGGAGCAAACAGG
rnacentral:rRNA from 1 species